rnacentral:rRNA from 1 species
UAGCAAUACUUAGUGGCAGACGGGUGAGUAACAUGUAGGUAUCUGCCCUUUGGCCUGGAAUAACACGAGGAAACUUGUGCUAAUACCGGAUAAGUCUUUACGGAGAAAGCUUUAUGCACCAUUGGAUGAGCCUGCACUUGAUUAGUUUGUUGGUGGGGUAAUGGCCUACCAAGACUGUGAUCAAUAGCUGAUUUGAGAGGAUGAUCAGCCACAUUGGGACUGAGACACGGCCCAAACUCCUACGGGAGGCAGCAGUGGGGAAUCUUGCACAAUGGAGGAAACUCUGAUGCAGCGAUGCCGCGUGAGUGAAGAAGGCCCUUGGGUUGUAAAGCUCUUUCGUCGGGGAAGAAAAUGACUGUACCCGAAUAAGAAGGUCCGGCUAACUUCGUGCCAGCAGCCGCGGUAAUACGAAGGGACCUAGCGUAGUUCGGAAUUACUGGGCUUAAAGAGUUCGUAGGUGGUUGAAAAAGUUGGUGGUGAAAUCCCAGAGCUUAACUCUGGAACUGCCAUCAAAACUUUUCAGCUAGAGUAUGAUAGAGGAAAGCAGAAUUUCUAGUGUAGAGGUGAAAUUCGUAGAUAUUAGAAAGAAUACCAAUUGCGGAGGCAGCUUUCUGGAUCAUUACUGACACUGAGGAACGAAAGCAUGGGUA